ensembl:lncRNA
CUCCAGGUGUCCCGGGCUGUUUGGGGAGGGGAGGCACCAUCCCCUGUUUCUGAAAUGUGCUUGCUGAAAGCUGUGGCAGCUUGACAGGACCCCCUUCCCGAUGGCCAGAAAGGAAAUGGUGGGCCCAGGCUCCUUUGCCGUGAGAGCCUUGGGCAGCCAGACGGGGCAGGGCCACGGGCCGGCUCCACUGACUGGGGGCACCAUCUGCGUCCACCCGCCAGAGGAUCCUGCCUGCGUGGGGCCUUGCGACAGCCUCGUGCCAGAAAGCCCUGGCUUCAGCGGCCUCGCUGCGAUUGGGGGGCAUUUGUGAGCACAAAAGAGAGGACGCAGGCAUUCAGGAGGCCCUUUCAGAAAAGGCGCCGCAGGCCUCCUGGCUGGAGAUUCUCCUAAGAUCAAAGCUCCUGCCAGCGGUGCACCGAGCCCUGCUCUCGGCAGGAAAGAGCGAACUGGAGCAAGUGAGGAUGAAAGAUGACGCUGAGGAUGGAAAGGCAUUUUCGGUGACAACAGCCUACAGCUCCCUGCUGGCCCCUGCCCCCUAACCUUGCUUCUAGUCCUGGGACCCAUGGGGGGCUUUGAAAAUUCCACCAAGAAAUGGUGCCCCGGUUCCCGGCAUCCCCUGUGGCUGUCUGUUGUUGAUUUGAAAUCUGUUCGCCCAGGAGUCCCAGUCCGGCUCAGCAGACAGCAGUAUUUGCUUAUUAAUUUGUUUAUUGAUUUACUGGGCUGUACUUGGGGCUUCUCCUGGGAAGAACUCCAGACAUGCGGGCUACCCAGCAUCCAGCCAUCAGUCAGACUCGAGUUUGGACUUUAAGAUGUCGCAGGGCCUGGAGCCGGUGGGCCUCAGGCCAGCACAACGUCCCAGAAGGGUUGAGGGGAUGGGCAGUGGGGUGCUGGAAGGCUGAGGCCAGUUGCUGAAGAGGUGGGCUGACCACAGGGACGGAAGCAUGCUGUGCUCGAUGGGGACGGCGCCCAAUGGGGUUGUGCAGCAUGGCCUCUGCCUGUGGAGAGGUUAUUACAGACUCGUGGCCAAAGGGAAGGAAGCCCACAUCUCCAUCUCGGAAAAGGCCCUCCUCCAGCUGAGCAGUAUUUAAGAGGCCUCCUUCCCAGAGGCAGGGGAUGCAGGAGAACCAGUCCAAGGUCUUUGGUGCCCGAAGGCGCUCAAAUUCAUGUUUUAGGAAGGGUUUUCUGAACGUGCCCGGACUGAGUAAGGCAAGGGGUGUUUCUAGCAACAAUUCGCUCAGCUCUUGCA